rnacentral:lncRNA from 10 species
AGCGACAGCCUCCACCGCCCGCGCCACAGCACCCGCAGCCGGGGUCCCAGGCGCUCCCAGCCCCCGCGCUGGCUCCGGACCAGCUGCCUCAAAACAACACGCUUGUGGCGCUGCCCAUCGUAGCCAUCGAGAACAUCCUCAGCUUUAUGUCCUACGACGAAAUUAGCCAGCUCCGCCUGGUUUGUAAAAGAAUGGACUUGGUCUGCCAGAGAAUGUUGAAUCAGGGAUUUCUGAAAGUGGAGAGGUACCAUAAUCUAUGUCAGAAACAAGUUAAAGCACAACUCCCAAGGUAUGUUGUGGGUGGCAAUGACAAUGAUGUACAGUUGGUUUUGUUUGUUGCUUGACUUCUUUUUUUCAGUCUCAUGGUUUACAUAUUGCUUCCCAAGUUUUUAUAGCAAAGGGCACAAAGAUCACAAUGUGAUUUCUGCAGUGGUUUGUCCAUUCUCACCGUUUGUGAUCAACAUUUUACUGGAGGUUCUAGCCAGAGAAAUUAGGCAAGAAAAUGAAAUACAAGGCAUCCAAAUGGGAAAAGAAGAAAUAGAACUCUCUGUUCACAGAUGAUAUGAUCUUGUGGAUAAGGAGUGCACUAAUUGAUUAUUAAAGCUAGUAAACCAGUUCAGCAAGGAUAUGGGAUAUAAGAAUAAUAUACAGAAACCAAUUAUAUUUAUAUACACUAGCAAUGAACAAUCCAAAAACGAAAUUCAAAACAUUUUAUCAUAGUUUCAAAAA